GCACUCCCGACCGCGCGCGGCUUAGCGCUGCGCCGAAAGGAUGGUCAGUCCGUCGGCGGCACCCACCGAAAACCCAUAACCAAUUUUGAAAAGCCGUCUGAAAUUUAAAAGUCGAAUGACUAUAAAACUUUCAACAACGGAUCUCUUGGUUCCCGCAUC
rnacentral:rRNA from 1 species